rnacentral:rRNA from 1 species
GACGAACGCUGGCGGCGUGCUUAACACAUGCAAGUCGAACGGAAAGGCCCUGCUUUUGUGGGGUGCUCGAGUGGCGAACGGGUGAGUGACACGUGAGUAACCUGCCCUUGACUUUGGGAUAACUUCAGGAAACUGGGGCUAAUACCGGAUAGGAGCUCCUGCUGCAUGGUGGGGGUUGGAAAGUUUCGGCGGUUGGGGAUGGACUCGCGGCUUAUCAGCUUGUUGGUGGGGUAGUGGCUUACCAAGGCUUUGACGGGUAGCCGGCCUGGGAGGGUGACCGGCCACAUUGGGCCGGAGGUAGGCCCAAGACUCCAACGGGAGGCAGCGGUGGGAAAUUUGGCACAAGGGGCGGAGGCCGGGGGCAGAAGCGCCGGGUGCGGAAGAACGGCUUUGGGGUUGAAACCCGCUUUCGCCGGUGACGAGGCGUGAGUGACGGUAAGGGGUAAGAAAGCACCGGCUAACUACGUG